UGCAAGUCGAACGCGAAAGUCCCUUCGUGGGGCGAGUAGAGUGGCGAAAGGGCGAGGAAUAUGUUCCUACGUACCCCCAGGUCAGGGAUAGCCCAUGGAAACGUGGAGUAAUACCUGAUGUGGUCUCCGGAUCAAAGGCUUCGGUCGCCCGGGGAGCGGGGAACAUCCUAUCAGGUUGUUGGUGAGGUAAAGGCUCACCAAGCCGAAGACGGGUAGCGGGUGUGAGAGCAUGACCCGCCGCAUCGGGACUGAGACACUGCCCGGACUCCUACGGGAGGCUGCAGUAACGAAUAUUCCGCAAUGCGCGAAAGCGUGACGGAGCAAUGCCGCGUGCAGGAUGAAGCCCCUCGGGGUGUAAACUGCUGUCAGGGUGCAGGAAAAAAAUGACCAUACCCAAAGGAAGGGCCGGCUAACUUCGUGCCAGCAGCCGCGGUAAUACGAAGGGCCCGAGCGUUAAUCGGAAUCACUGGGCUUAAAGCGUACGUAGGCUGACCUGCAGGUACUUUGUGAAAUCCCACCGCUCAACGGUGGAACUGCUUGGUAAACCGCAGGUCUUGAGUCAGGUAGGGGCCAUCGGAACGAUAGGUGGAGUGGUGAAAUGCGUUGAUAUCUAUCGGAACGCCAAAGGAGAAAUCAGGUGGCUGGGCCUGUUCUGACGCUGAGGUACGAAAGCGUGGGGAGCGAACGGGAUUAGAUACCCCGGUAGUCCACGCCGUANACGAUGUGCACUAGGUCGAGGACGUACCGACACGCUUCUUGGCCGAAGCGAAAGUGUUAAGUGCACCGCCUGGGGAGUACGGUCGCAAGGCUAAAA
rnacentral:rRNA from 1 species